AGCGUUGUUCGGAAUUACUGGGCGUAAAGGGCUCGUAGGCGGCCAACUAAGUCGGAUGUGAAAUCCCCAGGCUCAACUUGGGAACUGCAUCCGAUACUGGAUGGCUUGAAUUCGGGAGAGGGAUGCAGAAUUCCAGGUGUAGCGGUGAAAUGCGUAGAUAUCUGGAGGAACACCGGUGGCGAAGGCGGCAUCCUGGACCAACACUGACGCUGAGGAGCGAAAGCCAGGGGAGCGAACGGG
rnacentral:rRNA from 1 species